GACGAACGCUGGCGGCGUGCUUAACACAUGCAAGUCGAACGGAGUGGCGAACGGGCGAGUAAUACGUGGGUAACAUGCCCUCCUUUUUGGGAUAAGCCUUGGAAACGGGGUCUAAUACCGAAUAAAGGGGGAUGGGCUCGCGGCCUAUCAGCUCGUUGGUGGGGUGAUGGCCUACCACGGCGGUGACGGGUAGCCGGCCUGGGAGGGUGACCUGCCACAAUGGGACUGAGGUACGGCCCAGGGUACGACGGGAGGCGGCAGUUGGGGCUAUUGCGCAAUGGGCGAUAGCCUGAUGCAGCGUCGCCGCGUGUGGGAUGCAGGCUUUCGAGUUGUAAACCUCUUUCGCUAUCGUGCGGGUAGGUGGAGAAGAAGCGCCGGCUAACUACGUGCCAGCAGCCGCGGUAAUAC
rnacentral:rRNA from 1 species